GAUUGGCCCGCGUUGGAUUAGCUAGUUGGUGGGGUAAAGGCCUACCAAGGCGACGAUCCAUAGCUGGUCUGAGAGGAUGAUCAGCCACAUUGGGACUGAGACACGGCCCAAACUCCUACGGGAGGCAGCAGUGGGGAAUAUUGGACAAUGGGCGCAAGCCUGAUCCAGCCAUGCCGCGUGAGUGAUGAAGGCCUUAGGGUUGUAAAGCUCUUUCACCGAUGAAGAUAAUGACGGUAGUCGGAGAAGAAGCCCCGGCUAACUUCGUGCCAGCAGCCGCGGUAAUACGAAGGGGGCUAGCGUUGUUCGGAAUUACUGGGCGUAAAGCGCACGUAGGCGGAUAUUUAAGUCAGGGGUGAAAUCCCAGAGCUCAACUCUGGAACUGCCUUUGAUACUGGGUAUCUUGAGUAUGGAAGAGGUAAGUGGAAUUGCGAGUGUAGAGGUGAAAUUCGUAGAUAUUCGCAGGAACACCAGUGGCGAAGGCGGCUUACUGGUCCAUUACUGACGCUGAGGUGCGAAAGCGUGGGGAGCAAACCGGAUUAGAUACCCUGGUAGUCCACGCC
rnacentral:rRNA from 1 species